ACAAUGGAGAGUUUGAUCCUGGCUCAGGAUGAACGCUAGCGGCAGGCUUAAUACAUGCAAGUCGAGGGGCAGCGCAGUGUAGCAAUACAUGGGCGGCGACCGGCAAACGGGUGCGGAACACGUACGCAACCUUCCUUCAAGCGGGGAAUAGCCCAGGGAAACUUGGAUUAAUACCCCAUAAGACAAUUGGUUCGCAUGAAUUGAUUGUUAAAGAAUUUCACUUGAAGAUGGGCGUGCGUCUGAUUAGGUAGUUGGCGGGGUAACGGCCCACCAAGCCUACGAUCAGUAACUGGUGUGAGAGCACGACCAGUCACACGGGCACUGAGACACGGGCCCGACUCCUACGGGAGGCAGCAGUAAGGAAUAUUGGGCAAUGGACGCAAGUCUGACCCAGCCAUGCCGCGUGGAGGAUGAAGGUCCUCUGGAU
rnacentral:rRNA from 1 species